CAAGCUGUUGUUCUCCUAACCAUGCCACCAUAGCAGCAAUUUUAUUCUGAUGCAUAGAUUUGUAUAGAGAGGGGAACGGAACAAAGAUAAAGAAACAGCCACGUGGACGUGUGGUGGAAGAUCGUUUGAAGGAGGAGAAGAGCAAGUCAAAGGCCCUGAGGCAAGAGCACACUGGGCAUGUUCAAGGGCCUGCCCUGAACAAUCGUGUACAGGGAGUACAAGUCCC
rnacentral:lncRNA from 10 species